UUUUGCUCCGGUUUAAUGGGAUUCGUGCUGGAGGUCUGGGGCCAGCUGUUCCCUCUGCAGACAGGCAGGAAAACAUUCCAGCAUUCCACUCCUGCUGCUUUCAUCUUGUAAUGAGCUUGUCAGCAAUUAGCAGCUCUUGGAACGGCCACGGAGUGACAACACCACGAGCUCAGCGCCCAAAAUUUGCAUUUUUAAUGGAAUUGGGUGGGAAAAGGGGCUGGGAGGUGGGUGGGUCCAGGACUGAUGGGCAGGAAGAGCCAGUGCUCUGCUUGGGGGCCUUUCCUUGGCUGAGCUUGGGUUUAUAAAACGUCGAUAUCCUUUGGGGAUUAAUAGGGAUAUAAUUUGGGGAUUUUUAAAAAUUCCUCGCCUGGAAUUUUCCCUUCUCAUAGGCAGGAGGGGAGUUCACUGACGAUCUUGGGUCUGUAAAGUCUUUUUCCAGCCCACACCCAAGGAAAUGUGGAUGGCACGGCCUGGGAGGAGAAUGGGAUGUGCAGGGGAUUUCUGCAGGGCUGGCAGAGCUGGGGGUAUUUUUUGGGCAGAAAGGAGGGGUUUUGCUUGUCCUGGCUGCUGGUUCAGAGCCUGGAUUUUCCCCAGUUCUCUCCAGGUGGAAAUAAAUCCGGGAUGGGUUUGAAACCCCUGAGCAGAUGUGGGGAAAGGCUGACCUGGAGUCUUGGAGUUUGUGCUGAUCUUCAACCCCGGAGAAGACUUGCACACCCUGAGCACAAAUCCUGCUGCAUUCCUCGAGGUUUGAGCCCCCAGCUCGGCUGAGGAAUUCGGGAUGUGGUUCCAGGCUGAGCUGUUCCCCCACCAGGAGCCUUCCUAAAAUCAGCCCCUUCCUCAAGAAAACAAAGCAGAGUGGAGCUGGGGACGAGGCCGUGGCUCCUGCCCAGAGUUUCUGUCGCUCCCUGCUCCUGCGGGGUUUCAUCCAUCUUCCUUUCCCAAACCCGUCCAAGUGCAAUGCCUGCAACACCCGGAGCCAAUUAAUCCUUGGGAAGGCAAAAUACAUUAAAAAUUAGCGGGAAAAUUUGUCCUGAGGGAAGAAUAAAUCCAGCAGCAAAUGAGGCCGAGCUUUGCCAGCUGCUGGGCUUUCUCCUCAGCGACCCCGGCCCUUGGAUGGGGCCACUGGGGGGGGGGGGGGGGGGGGGGGGGGGGGGGGGGGGGGGGGGGGGGGGGGGGGGGGGGGGGGGGGGGGGGGGGGGGG
rnacentral:lncRNA from 12 species